GGAGGUGAUGGCUGGCGAUUGACCCAUGACCCACCCUCUCACCAUGUGCAACUGGGAGAUUUCUGUGAGCAAACAAAUAAACACCACAGGAACAGAUGCCUCGGAAAGAGCUCACACAAGAGAAUGCAGCAUGCCCAGGACCGUCAUAGCCAACAUCCAACAGCACCACACCACAGCCCAGCCAGCCAGAUGUCCAGUGCUCCUCUCCCACCUCCCUCACCCCCGAGGACACAGUUUGGACCUCACUGCUCACUCCCACUUAAAUGAACACAAUGGCAAAAGCAGCCAAGGAACGAUGAGUAUGGACUCCUGCUCCAGUGGAUUCAGGAAUUAGGAAGAAGGGAUGUGGGAGUGGUCCAUGUUGGCUAACAGUAAGACAGCCUGCCGUUACUGGGAUUGCCCAAAACUGACCCCAUGUCACGUCUGCAAGAUGAAUUGCCUAAUUGAAUCCCUCCAGCAGUUCCAUGAGAUAGAUACUAUCACUAGAUCCAGUAUACAGCCAGGAAAACAUGAGCAUAUAGAAGGGAAGCUAGAAUGGGGAUUUUAUAUCAGCUGGCCUCAGACCUACAACACCCAUUAUCUCCGCCCCCUAGAGAAGAACCUGACACAUGUGGAGAAGAGUAUAGAACCGCAUGGCAUGAAAGACUUCGAGAGAAAUAACUAGUAAGCCGACUUGGUGAAAUAAGAGAAUCCAGGGGCCAACCAGUUGUCAAAGGCAAAAAACAGGUUUUAGCACUGACUGCAUCCAAGGAAAGCACUCAGUACCAGGCUAAACCAGGAUGGCUGGUCACCUUGUCUCAAGUCUCAGAUGACCAAACAGCUUCUUAGAGCAACAACUCUUUGAUCUCAGCUGGAUGUGCCUAAUACCACUGUAACAGAUUUGGCAGGGAAGCUGGGGAAUGCAACUGAUGCAGUGUGGCUGAAUUUCGGAAAGUCUCCCAUGAGAUCUUUCGAAGGAAAAGACACAACUGAGUGCCUACAGUUACACGGAGGCACGAUGACCUAACAACAGCCAAGCCCAAGGAUCACUGUUCACUCAAUGGGCCUUUCAUGCCUAAAGCAAAAGUCCAUGGCAUUCAUCUGAGUUGUGAAGGUGCAGCAGUGAACAAGACAGACCGACAUCUCUCCCCCUUGGAGGAGAGUUUCUACGGAGGGGAAUGUGGAGAAAGAUACUAAGCAGUAAGUCCUGCAGUGUGUCAGAUGGUGGAAAGCAUCAUGGAAGAAAAGACGGAACUGCCAGAAUAAUAGGACUGCGAAAUUCAAAAGGGAAGAGGGAGAAUUCAUCACUGAGAAAGUGACAACUGAACAAAGACUGCAAGGACAUGAGGGAGGUCGCCCAUUGGGCAUCCAGGAGAAGAGGGCAAAGGAGAAGGGAAGAGCCAACACAAAGACCCUGUCUUAGUCAACUUUCUCACUGCUGUGACCAAAGGACCCGACCAGCA